rnacentral:rRNA from 1 species
GCAGUAGCCGCGGGAAUACGUAGGGUGCAAGCGUUAAUCGGAAUUACUGGGCGUAAAGCGUGCGCAGGCGGUUAUAUAAGACAGAUGUGAAAUCCCCGGGCUCAACCUGGGAACUGCAUUUGUGACUGUAUAGCUAGAGUACGGCAGAGGGGGAUGGAAUUCCGCGUGUAGCAGUGAAAUGCGUAGAUAUGCGGAGGAACACCGAUGGCGAAGGCAAUCCCCUGGGCCUGUACUGACGCUCAUGCACGAAAGCGUGGGGAGCAAACAGGAUUAGAUACCCCUGUAGUCCCUGUCUCUUAUAA